UCUCCUCUCCCCUCUGCCUUUCUCCCCUCCUCUCCUUUCCUCCCCUCCCCUCCCUCCCUUCAACUCUCCGCUUCUCUUUCCGUCCAUCUUUUUAUUUUCGUUGUUGUAUAUAAAUUUCCAUUUCCCUACAAAAUACAGUGUAUUUUUUUCCAUCUCUUUCAAAUAUAACUAUACAUUUUCUUGAAAUUACAUUAGUCCAUGCUUCACUUAUACUGCAGGGGAGGCAGUGGCUCAUUGGCCAAGAUGCUGAGCUUGUCGAUCAGAAGGUCAGCAGUUCAGUAGUUCGAAUCCCUGGUGCCGCGUGACGGGGUGAGCUCCCGUGACUUGUCCCAGCUUCUGCCAACCUAGCAGUUCGAAAGCAGGUAUUUUGCCCAGCGCUUGGCACAAAAGGCCACCCAGGCUCCUGCAACCAAGCAGAUGCAAAGGCUCUUUGACAAGGAGAAGGAGGAGUUUUGGAAGAAGGUGGAGACCAGGCUGUCUUGGAGGAAAAAGCCCAGGAGUCCGCUCAGCUGCCUGGUGGAACCAGGCUGAUCCUCCCUCCCUCCUUCCUUCCUUCCUUCCCUCCUUCCUUCUUUCUCUCCUGCACAAUGCAAUGCUCGUGGGCUGCCUUCCUACCCUUGGCGUUGCUGGUGGCUCUCAAUGCCAGCCCAGGAGACUCCGGUUCAGUGGAUCCGUGCUGUUAUUUCCCGUGCCAACACAAUGGUUUGUGCGUCCAGGUUGGCACGGAAGAGUACGAAUGUGAUUGCACCCGGACGGGAUACUAUGGCACCAACUGCAGCUCACCGGAAUUCUGGACGUGGGUACACGACACCCUUAAGCCGAGCCCGUCUUCCGUUCAUUACCUGCUGACCCAUUUCACCUGGCUGUGGAGCAUCGUGAAUAGGACUUUCCUCCGAGGUCUUUUGAUGAGAGUGGUGUUGACGGCCCGCGCCAACCUCAUCCCCAGCCCGCCCACCUUCAGCGGCAACUAUGGAUACCUGAACUGGGAAUCCUACAGCAACCUCAGCUACUUCACCCGCAUCCUCCCGCCAGUGCCCCCCAACUGCCCCACGCCGAUGGGGGUGAAAGGACCACUGGAGCUGCCAGAAGCCGAACUGGUAGCGGAAGAACUUCUGCUGCGUCGGACUUUCCACCCGGACCCACAAAGGACCAACCUGAUGUUCUCUUUCUUCGCCCAACACUUCACGCAUCAGUUCUUCAAGACGUUUGGCAAGAUGGGCCGCGGGUUUACCUGGGCUCUGGGCCACGGGGUGGAUCUUGGCCACAUCUACGGAGACAACCUGGAACGCCAACAUCAGCUACGCCUCUUCAAGGACGGGAAGCUGAAAUACCAGCUGAUGAAGGGAGAAAUGUACCCCCCAACAAUCAGGGAAGCUGCCGUGCACAUGAUCUACCCACAAGGCACCCCUCCGGAGCAAAGGUUUGCCACGGGCCAGGAGGUCUUCGGUCUUCUCCCGGGCCUCCUGAUGUAUGCCACCCUCUGGCUUCGGGAGCACAACCGUGUCUGCGACUUGCUGAAGAAGGAACACCCCACUUGGGAUGACGAGCAGCUCUUCCAGACCGCCCGGCUCAUUCUGACAGGUGAGACGAUCAAAAUCGUCAUUGAGGAUUACGUCCAGCAUCUCAGCGGCUACCACCUGAAGCUGAUGUUUGAGCCCGAGCUUCUCUUUGGGGCCCAGUUCCAGUACCAGAACCGCAUCGCUCUGGAGUUCAACCAGCUCUACCACUGGCAUGCCUUGAUGCCGGAUUCCUUCCAGCUGCCAGAUAGAGAAUACAGUUAUGACCAGUUUCUUUUCAACAACACCAUUCUCACCCACUACAGCAUAGAGACCCUGGUAGAGGCCUUCUCCAAACAGCGAGCCGGCCAGAUCGGUGGGAAGCCAAAUAUCAACAAGAACCUUCUCAAAGUGGCAAUUGGAACGAUCAAGGAAUCGCGGCUGUUGCGUUUCCAGCCGUUUAAUGAGUACCGGAAGAGAUUCCAUCUUAAGCCGUACACGUCGUUCCGGGAACUGACAGAUGAUGAGAACAUGGUUGCCAAGCUGGAGGAGAUGUAUGGAGACAUCGACGCUCUGGAAUUCUUCCUGGGCCUGUUGGUGGAGAAGACCUACCCCAACAGCAUCUUUGGAGAAAGCAUGAUCGAGAUGGGGGCUCCCUUCUCCUUGAAGGGGCUUCUGGGGAACCCCAUCUGCUCCCCCGAAUACUGGAAGCCCAGCACUUUUGGGGGCGCCGCCGGCUUCCGAAUCGUGAACACGGCCAGCUUGCAAAAACUGGUUUGCCUCAACGUGAAACGGUGUCCCUACGUGGCUUUCCACACGCCCGAUCAUGGAGAGGCCGAAGGCUCCGAGAAGAAGACGCCGCCUUCAACGGAACUCUAACAAAGCUCUCUUCGGUUGAGUUUUAUACAGAGAGUCAAGGAUGUCUUGCCCUGCAUCUGGAGUGGUGUGACUGGGAGGCAUCUCCAGUUGGGACGGUGCAUUGUUUGGACCACGUGAUGAACAUGUGGGUGCAGGGGGAAGGGACUUGGACUUUCUUUUGGGUGGGGGAAAACCUGAAAGCUUUCAGAUCUGGGUUUUUCCAGAUGUGCCAAUAUGACAUCUUCUAAUAAAAUGGAACUUUGAGGGACUUCAAGCCUUGGAGUCUUCUUUUGUUGGGGGGGUAUUACUUGGAACCCUGACAGCCUGGGUGCCUGCAGACUUAUGCCUGGGAGAGAUGGGGCAUCAAUGCUAACAAGCGAUGGAACUCUGCAAAUAAUCAGGAAGCACAAAGAUAACGGAAGAGGGACCUUGGAGGUCUUCUAGUCCAACCCGCUGCUCAAGCAGGAAACCCUAUACCAGGGGUGUCAAACUUAAGGCCCGCAGGCUGGAUCCAGCCCGCAGGGGGCUUAGAUCUAGCCUGUGGGGCCGCCCUGGAAACAGCGGCCCAGGUGCCCAUUUUUGCUGGCAUUUUCGCAACACAGGCGCCACUGACAUGAGUUAUGGUAUGCUGGCCACGCCCCCCACAAGGUCAAACACAACCCUGAUGCCUCCCUCAAUGAAAUCAAGUUUGGCAUCUCUGUCCAAUUUCUUCUUGAAAAUCUCCAGUGAUGGAGCAUUCACAAUUUCUGGACGGAAGCCUUUUCACUGAUUAAUGGUUCUCACUGUCAGAAAAUUUCUCUUUAUUGCUAGGUCGCUUCUCUCCACAAUUCUGUUGUUUCUUAUGUUGCCUUCAAAUGCUCUGGAAAAUAG